ensembl:rRNA 5S_rRNA 5S ribosomal RNA
UGCUGUAAUCAUAUUACAUUUCAGCAAAGUAGAGGUGGGCCUGGUUAGCAUUUGGAUGGGAGACCUCUGACGAACCCCAAGGUUGAUGCAGGAA